AGCAGCCGCGGUAAUUCCAGCUCCAAUAGCGUAUAUUAAAGUUGUUGCAGUUAAAAAGCUCGUAGUUGAAUUUCGGGGUCAGUAGGUUGGUCAUGCCACUGGUAUGUACUGGUCUCACUGAUUCCUCCUUCCUGAUGAGCCGUAAUGCCAUUAAUUUGGUGUUGCGAGGAAUCUGGACUGUUACUUUGAAAAAAUUGAGUGUUUAAAGCAGGCUAACGCUUGAAUACAUUAGCAUGGAAUAAUGAAAUAGGACGUUCGAUCUUAUUUUGUGGUUUCUAAGAUUGACGUAAUGAUUAAUAGGGAUAGUUGGGGGCAUUAGUAUUCAAUUGUCAGAGGUGAAAUUUCUUGGAUUUUAUUGAAGACUAACUACUGCGAAAGCAUUUUGCCAAGGAUGUUUUCAUUAAUCAAGAACGAAAGUUAGGGGAUCGAAGACGAUCAGAUACCGUGUAGUCUUAACCAUAAACCUAUGCCGACUAGGGAUCGGAUGAUGUUAUUUUUAAUGACUUCAUUC
rnacentral:rRNA from 1 species